rnacentral:lncRNA from 1 species
AAUGCUUGAUGGGUUCCAGCAGACUGAGGACGUGGGUUUGGGACUUUCGGACCACGGCGAGGUGAGCUUGGCCCGGAGCGGCAGAAGUGGGCGAGGUUCGCGUGGGAGGAGGGACAUCGACUUAGUUUUUCUUGAGAGAUCUGACCGUGCCGUGGCUGCAGACCAUCUUCGCGUCAGCCACCGCCCUGGAUCACGCCAAGUGGGUUCCCAGCCCCUGCCGCCUCGUGAACUCCGCCAAAGUCAGCCACGGGAGAUUACCAUAUUCUAAAACUUCACCUGGACCGUUGGUGUGAACGCUGGGACGAAGAUCCAGGAGUUAGGUCGGGAUGUAGAGUGGUUUUGGGCGGCGAGCGCCCUUGCUCAGGCUGGCUGCAAGGAUAAGACUGAAUUGAACCCUAAAUCAGCUUCCGUGAUAAAACCGAGAGAUGGAGAAUUACUCAGCACAUUUUAUAUUGAUAAAAGAGUGCCCGGUGCAGAAGAACCAGAAGAACAAGGCCUGGAAUCCUCAGGAACUGGAAUUACAAAUGUUUGUGAACAGUCACAUGGCUACUGGAAUCAGUCUCUGAUCUUUUGGAAAACACACCCUGUCCUCUUAAAUCCCUGAGCCACCUCUCCAGCUCCUGUUUUAUAUUCUAUUCCUAAGUAUAUUUUGAACUUUGGAGGAAAUGCUUUCUUAGUCUGUUCACAUGAUGGUGUGCGUUUUAAACUCUGUUUUAUUAAAUGGUGUGUUGCAACA